rnacentral:misc_RNA from 1 species
AACGGUCUAUACCUGCGGUACCUGCGGAGGGAUCAUUAGUGAACGCCCUCACGGGCUUAUAACUAUUCCAAACCUCUGUGAACCGUGCCCUUCGGGGCUAUUUUACAAACAUGGUGUAAUGAACGUCAUAUAUCAUAACAAAACAAAACUUUUAACAACGGAUCUCU